CGUACCCAGCCAGGCAGGAAAUGGGUUUUGGGGACGGCCACUUAGCCUAGCUGUUGGACCUGAAACUGUGGGAGUAAUCUCUGCCUGCAAUUAGAGCAGGCGGCCUGCAGGACACAGUUUGGGAGCCAGUGAUGGAGUCCUGAAGAGAAGUGAAGCUGGAACUUCAGGCGGGCGGCCGUGGGCCUCGUGGGAAGGAGACCCUGGUGGCUGCUGUGCGCUCAGCUCUCGGCCACCUGGUGCCUCUGAUGGAGGGGACUCUGUGUCCUGGUUGCCUGGGACAGUCCCAUGAUGCAAGUUACUGUGGCACAGUUAGCCGUCACCCCCCCGCCCAAGUGUCAUGGUGUGGAUGAGAAACGGUGUUAUUUAUCAGUCUCAGCUCUGACUGUCCAUUGCUCUGUCUGCAGUGGUAGAUGAUUCUGCAGCCCAGCUUGUCAUCUGGGUCUUGGCAGAGAGUGGCAGGGGGGCUCUGAGGAGUCCUCUCUGAGCAUGAGCUUUGGGAGUUUGACCCUCUCCACUCUGUCCUGAAUGGGGCCAUGCAAACGCCUCUCCUCUGUGGGGCAUAGAAGGAGCAGGGAUCCAGUGCGUGAGUGCCAGACCCAGCCUUGCUCCUGCUGCCUGCACACCUCUCACCGAAGGCAAGCUCUUCACCGUGCUGAGCCUCAGCCUUCUGAUCUGCAAAAUGGACAGGAGAUGAGUCCCUGCGUGUGGUGGGCAGAAUUUCUAAACAUGGACCUUGUGGUACCUUCUUCUGGCUGUCAUUGCAAAAUACUCCAAACAGUGUGGCUAAAAACAACUGGAAUUUAUCCUUUUAUUGUUUUGGAGGCUAGAAGCCAGCAAUGAAGGGGACUUGAUUCUUCUCCCCACAGGCUCUAGGGGAGAAGCUGUUCCCUGUCCCUUAGUCUCUGGGGCUGUGGGCAGCGCGUGGCACUUCAUGGCUCGUGGAUACACAUUGCUCUAACCUUGGCCUUGGUCGCCACGUGGCCUUCCGCCUGUGUCUCUUCUUUGUAAGGACAUCAGCCACACUGAAUGAAGGACCUGUCUACUCUGGUGUGACCUCAUUUUAACUAAUGACAUCAACAAUGAUCUGUUUCCAAAUAGGAUCACAUUCUGGAGUUCUGGGGAGGGAGUGGAUUUUGAGGGGAACUGGUCAACCCAAUACAUCUCCCUGAGGAUGUUCUGUGCUAAUCCCUGGAAUGGAUGAAGAUGAGAUGUUGUUCUUGGGCAUAUGUCCUGCUUAUGCACAGGUGACCUCAUGGUAGGGAGAUUACCUGGGUGGGCCUGGUUUACUCAGGUGAUGUCUUUAAAAACCAGGGUAUGUGCCCAGUGGAAGGAGGAAGAGGAGGUCAGAGGGAUGGAUUGGAAGCAUGAGAUUCAAUGCAUUGUUGAGAGUGUGAAGCUGGAAAAGGCCACAUGGUGAGGAAUGUGACUGCCUCCAGGGGCACAGGGGCCCCAGCCAACAGCUGCCCAGGAACAGGGAGCUCAGUCCGACAACUGUAAGGACCUGAGCGAGCUCAGAAGCACAUUUCUCUCCAGAGCAUCCAGACAGGACUCUGCCAGGCGGGCACUUGGAUUUCAGUCUUGGUAGACUCCCUGGCAGGGAACCUGGCUACGCCUUGCUGGAUUUCUGAGCUACCGAACUGGGAACUGAUAGACCGGUGGUCAUUUGCUAUGCCUUACUCGUGGGCUGGCUGGGAGGGUGAUGAGUAAUGCAUGCAGGGUCGAGACCCUGGCUGGGAGCUGAGCCCGUGUGAUGACUGACCUCAUGAGAUUAUUGUUGCUAUGGAAUCAGAAGACACCACAUGGGGCACCCAGCGAGUCACUUUGGGCCCUUCCUUUCCUGUGUAUGGACAAGAAAUGGCCUCUUGCUCCUGAAUUGACCCAUUUUCCUGCCUCCCUUGGAUUCCUUCCUCUACACCGAACCCCGGACACUCAUUGUGUCUCCCAAAAUCCAGGCUCCUCGUUGCCCUAGGGGUCAAGUCCAUCCCUGGGCUGGCAUCCUUGGUCUUCCUGAACACCUUCCUGUUCCCAUGUCCAGGUCUCUCUCUCGCUCUCUCUCUCUGAGAUGGAAUUUUGCUCUUGUUGCCCAGGCUGGAGUGCAAUGGCGAAAUCUCAGCUUACUGCGACCUCUGCCUCCCAGGUUCAAGCAGUUCUCCUCCCUCAGCCUCUGUGAGAAGUAGAAAUGUUUCUUUUUAAAGUUGAUUAAGUGAGCAUCUAUUUCCAACACCUGGGUACCUAGGGCUGGCAGGCCCCAGGUGCAGAGAGUGCAGACCUCCAUUUGCAGGAAAUACAAGGAAGAUGCACGUCCUCGGGAAAAUCACAGCAAAUGCACCACACCUGCUCUGCGCCGACUCUGUGCCCAGUACCUUCCUUGAUGAACUCAUCGGUCUCUCAGCACCACUUUGAGGAAGGGUCUGCGGGUCUCCUGUUACGGAUGAAUAACCUGAAGCGCAGAGAGCAUUUGCACAACGGGAGAUGGUCUCUGUGUCUUCGGCCGGCCAAUUUCUCCUUUCCUUCAAUUUGCAGUGAGCGCUAGCUUCCCGGUAGAGGAAGGUCUCUAGCAAGGCCCAGGAGUUUUGGAAGGAUCCUUUCCUAACAUUUCUGAAGGACAGUAAUUCAGAGUCUGCACCAAGCGCAGCAGCCUGCUGUGUUGCUCUUUAAGAAGGAGGGUGUUGAAGGGACCUGUGAAGCUGUGAGGCUGGAUCUGCACGAGCAUCCACGCAGCAGAGCCCCAUCUCCAUCUUCAAGUGGGCAAAGCCUCUGCUCAUUAGAGGGAAGGGGUAUUGAAGACCGCGUGUGACUCGCCCGAGUGGGCUUCUGCGUGCUUGUGAGUGGGAUCGAUACCCCUCUAGCCACUAUCGAUAGGAACGGUGUUGUGCCCAGCGUGGCCUUCCCACGGGCCCCCACCUGAGCCCUGCCACUCAGCACACAUUAGAGAGAGGAUGUGAUGCUGAAAAGACCCUGAAGUGUGAUCAAAAUGCAGGCAUUAGCCCCAGGGCACCGUGGCAGGAAUCUCCUCUUGCCUCGGGUAGAAGCGGAUGCUGAGCAGGCUCUUGCAGGCGCUCGGGCAGUGGGUGCUCUCCAUGUGAGCAGCUGCUGCACAGGCCCUGGCCCUAAGCUCACCUGGGACCCUGCUUCUCCCCAGUGGGGGACUUUGGGCAGGUCACAGAGUUAUCUCACUCACUGAGGGAGGCAGUCCCUCAAUGGCCUCUGCCCACCUUUCCUGCCUUCAAUCGUUCAGCUCGGAUUUUUCGGGUAUGCCUGUGUCCAGGUGCAGGGUCCACGGGGUUCUCACUCCUGGGGAUCUGCUGGGGGCUGCCUACAGUCAUCAGAAACUAACUCCAACUGCUGCAAACAAAGAAAACCUAUUGAAGGACAUUUGGGUCUCAGGACAGAAGUGAGGCUGAGGAGAUGGGUCUGGGGCUGAGGAGAUUCCCAAGAAGGUGGAGUCAGCAGCAAGACCAUUCUAUGACCUUGCCAGGACCACCGCUGAAAUUAACCACGCUGUUUUCAGCCAAGACUCACUGCAACCAUACCCGGGACCCAGCAUCGUCCCAGGCCUUGGGGACUGUGCAGGAAAUAAAUGAAAAGAUGAAGCCCCCCCACUCCCAUUUCUUCCACGCUUGCCCCUGACCACUCAAGAUGCAAAGUUCCAGUGCAGAAAUGCUGAUGGAUGGGCCAAGCUCUGGGCACUGCUCACCCUGGGCUCUUCCUGGGCAGUGAGAGUCUCCAGCCCCCUGUGGCAUCUGAACAGGGAAAACCACGAAAAAGGAGGCAGUGGUUCAGAGCAGCUGCAAGCAGGUUGCUCCUGGAGAGGUGAACAGUGAGCUGAGGGGUGGGGAGGCUGAGGCUGUGGAACGGGGCAAGCGUUAGCUGUGGCUGGAUGGAGGGCACUGGGGUCAAGAGAGACGUGGGGCAGGGCACAGUGGCUCACACCUGGAAUCCCAGCACUUUGGGAGGCCAAGGCAGGCAGAUCACCUGAGGUCAGGAGUUUGAGACCAGCCUGACCAACAUGGUGAAACCCCGUCUCUACUAAAAAUACAAAAUUAGCUGAGUGUGGUGGUGCACGCCUGUAAUCCCAGCUACUUGAGAGCCUGCUGGAAAUAGGUGCUCGGUGCUGCAAAGAACAAUCAGCACGGAGACAGAGGAUCUCUCAGCAACGCAAUGUCUACGUCCUGGACUGCAGGAAGGGGACCCUCGCCAGCCAUCUUGCCACGAGAAUACAAAGAACAAAGGAAAACACACAAAUUUAUCCCUUACACACUUGGGGUCGUCCUUACUGCUGUGUCUGAUCUCCGUUGGCUGGAGCCAGACCUCACCAUCUAAACUAAAACCCAAUUGACUAACAACUUAAAACUUUUCUAAACAGGUAAAAGCCAUGGAGAGCUGGGACAUGGCUGUGAGCACGUCCAGCUCAGAUAUCUUGGUUAAAGUACAAGGACACAGAAUGUACUACGUGCCUGUAAGCAUGGCGUGUCUCACAGCUACAGAGGAUAGGGCUUCACAGGGUUAUUAGCGCACUUUAACAAGAAAGGAAACUUUAAAAAGGAACUUUUUUACUUCCCGCACUAGAAAUAAGUUGUGAUGUGGAGCCUAGAACAGAUCCUGCUGAUUUCUUAAAAUAGUCGUUUUUCUGGAUGUAAAGGUAAUGUGAGCCCCUUAUAUGAUGCCUGGAAAACAGACAGCAGCCACAAGAAACAAAAGCCUCUUGCAUUUUCAGUUCCUGCGAACAGCUGCUGACAUUCUCUGAGCCUCUUUUUCGUUUUUUUCUCAAAUGCCUUUGCUCGAGCACACACUCGUGCAAUAUAUACGUAUGUCGAAAACUUAAUUGCAGACGAUUUGAGAUUGCACUUUUCACUUUCGGAAGUCAUAUUUUAAAGUUUUCCGUCCUCUGGCUAUGCCGUUUAAAUUGCUCCUGUUCUACUCUUAAAGAGAUAGCUGACACCACUGCCUUCUAGUAUAUUUUUAUGCAAACCCAUGACAGUCUCUCCAGGGCAAAUUCUGAAAACUGGAUACACUGGGAUGAAAAGUAUGUGCAUUUACAAUACUUUUGAUACAAACUGCUCAGCUGGUCUCCAAAAAGCAGCAGCUGGUGUGAGGUGCCCUCUCUCCCUGGCCCCUUCUGCAGUGUGCAGCAGAGUGAACCUGGAAGCCCUAGUACGUUACACACAGAACCAUUGCGGUAAGCCUGGAGAGCGGGGACUUCCUGUGCCUGCAGCCGCUCUGCAAGCUGGAGCUCAGGCCUUAGGCUGCCGCAGGGCCGGGGGCACAGGGCUCCGGGCAUGGCAGGGUGGGCCUGGAGGAAAUGCACAUCUGCUGGUGGAGACAAAGAUGGAAUCCAGGUGGCAGGAGGUGCUGGGGCUGUUGAUGUUUACAGAAAGCUUAAGCGCUGGCUGUUAGAACUGGAGCCCCGUGCAGGGUGAGAGCAGGGGCCAUGAUGAGAAAGGCAGGGUCACUAGAGGGGCUGGCUGGCUUGAGCAUUGGCGGCUGGUGCGCAUUCUAGCUGAACCCACUCCACUGUGGCUUGGGUGUGGAGGGUAAUAGAAAAGGACCUACUGUCUAAGCCAUCUUGUUUGGAAUUAAUAAUAUAACAGGGAGGAGGUGCCUCGUGCUGUGUCUUUCCUGAUGUGGGGCUCCUACUCACUACUUGUCACCACCCUACGGUCAUUGCAAACCCCAGUCAGAUGCCAGCUCCACCAGCCACCAAAAUGGUCCUGGUGAAGUCCCGGGCUAUGUCUUCUGUGGCUUCCUUAUGGUGGGCAAUUAUGAGAGUGCAUGCAAAGCCCCCCAUUCACUAAUCCGUUUGUCCAUCUACUAUCCAUAUAUCUAUCCACUCACUCACCCACCCACCCAUCCAGCCCACCCAUCCAUCUCAUCUGUCCAACCACCCAACUCCUAUUCA